rnacentral:rRNA from 1 species
UACGAAGGGGGCUAGCGUUGUUCGGAAUCACUGGGCGUAAAGGGCGCGUAGGCGGCGCGACAAGUCAGGCGUGAAAGCCCCGGGCUCAACCCGGGAAUUGCGCUUGAUACUGUCGUGCUCGAGGCCGGGAGAGGAUGGCGGAAUUCCCAGUGUAGAGGUGAAAUGCGUAGAUAUCGUAAGGAAGACCAGUGGCGAAGGCGAGUCUCUGGACAGCAACUGACGCUGAGGCACGAAGGCCAGGGGAGCAAACGGG